UACGAAGGGGGCUAGCGUUGCUCGGAAUCACUGGGCGUAAAGCGCACGUAGGCGGCUUUCUAAGUCAGGGGUGAAAUCCUGGAGCUCAACUCCAGAACUGCCUUUGAUACUGGAAAGCUUGAGUUCGGGAGAGGUGAGUGGAACUGCGAGUGUAGAGGUGAAAUUCGUAGAUAUUCGCAAGAACACCAGUGGCGAAGGCGGCCUACUGGUCCGGUUCUGACGCUGAGGCGCGAAAGCGUGGGGAGCAAACAGG
rnacentral:rRNA from 1 species